rnacentral:rRNA from 1 species
UGACCUCAGAUUCAGGUAGGGAUACCCGCUGAACUUAAGCAUAU